UAAUCAUGUUUAUUUUUAUAACAGUAUUUUGUGAUACCAUAAACUUCUGGAAAGAUACUGAAACAGGAACAACCAAGCCGACACCUACAUUAGUAUCAUCAAUAAUUUCUCUCUAAGGCAUGGGUUAGCAUGACUGCUAAAAUACGCCGAUAGCCAUGGGGAGAGCUCGAGGAUGACCGCAAAAGGAUCUACCGGCAAUGACAAGAGUUGAGAAAUGUACACCUCCAGAGCAAAUAAUCUUUGAAUAAGGAAAGGCUCCGAUAACUAUGGAAAGUGGAUCUUCAAUUGCUGGAUCGACUACUAUUUCAUUGAAUUUGGGGAUUUCAGGAGUGGAAAAAUUGACAGCAAACUACCUAGCACAAGUGGUAAGAAUAGUAAUAAGAAAAAUUCAAGGCAGGACAAAAGUGUACCAGUCAAGCGGAAGCUUGAUUUACAACAACCUCAGGAGAAGAAACAAUAGUCGAAUCUAUUCAAACAAUCUAAGCUAAUAGGGCGAGGCAUGAGCCUAGAGUAUGUUGCUUCAGUUGUGAAAGAUGGGUCCAAAUUGGUUCAAUUACAAGCAAGUGAUGUGGAUAUGGACACUGAAAAAUGGAAAAAAGCUCUUACACUCUAUGUUGUUGGUGCUUCUCUAAUGAUUGGGUCCUUAGAGAGGUUUAUAGCAGAGCAAUGGAACUUUGCAGCCAAGCCAAAGAUAUACUAUCAUAAUGAGGGUUAUUUUGUUGUGUUGUUCACUUUGUUGGAAAAUUGAGAUGCAAUUCUAUCAUCAGGACCUUAUAUGCUUAACAAUAAACCAAUAAUCUUAAAGGUAUGGUCAGAGAAGUUUGAUUUUAGUGCUAAGGUUUUAACUACGCUCCCUAUAUGGGUUAAGUUCUCCAAUUUACCACUGAAUUAUUAAAGUCAAGGAGUCUUCAGUAGGAUUAGUAGUGCAAUAGGUAAUCCUUUGUUUGCUGACGAUUGUACAAUAGGAGUGGAAAGGAUUUUCUAUGCGCGUGUGCUUAUAGAGAUGAAUGUCACCAAGGUACUUCCAAAGGUGCUAUCCGUGCCGGACCCGAGUGGUAGAAUUUUUUGGCAAAAACUGGAGUAUGACUGGGUGCCAGUAUAUUGAAAUACAUGCCUAAUGGUAGGCCAUAAAUAUAGCUUGUGGAGAAGAAGGCUCCUCCUGAACAUAGGAAGCCUAAGCCUGUACAAACAUGGGUACAAAAGCCUAAUCCUGAAGCUCCACCAGAUAUGUAAGUAGUCGUUGGGCCAAGUGAGGCAUUCCCACCUUUGAAUCAUACAUGGAAAGAAGCAAAAAACAUAUCAACUACUAAGAAUAAGCAAAAAGAUCAGGUAGAUAUUACACCUCUGACUAAUGGUUUUACUAUGCUGAAAGGUUAUAUUAUAUAGGAUGCAGGUAUUAUGAGUAGACAGGAUGUAGGUCAAUGUAGUAAAUGGGAUGAAGGAGGAGAUCAGAAGAAAAUAUCUAAAUGUGCAUGAUGAUAGUAGCAUGGAAUAUAAGGGGUAUCAAUAAGUUAUUUAAGCAGAAAGAGGCUAGUUUUUUCUCAAAUAAAUAUAGAGUUAGUCUGAUAGCUAUGGUCGAACAUAAGGUGCAACAACAAUAUGCUUCAAAUAUCAUUUAAAAAAUCACAAAAAAUAGAACUAGUGUGAUAUGGAUCCUAUAGAAUACUGAUAGAAUUGACUUUGAGCUUGUCAAAAUGAAUGAACAAUAUAUACAUGGCAAAGUAGAGAUCAAUAAUGAGAGUUUUAUGUUUAUUGCCAUAAAUGGGUUGUAUUCAAUUGUUGAUAGAAGUAAACUAUGGCCUUCUCUUGGCACCAUUGCUGCUGGUAUACACUGACCUUGGAUUCUAAUAGGUGACUAUCACACAAUAGUGGAACAUGAUGACAGGAUUCAAGGAAGUCCAGUACUCGAUAGUGAAACUAAAGAUUUUGCACGAUUCCUGGAAGAUCAUAAACUUAUAGAGCUAAGAUCAGUGGGAAGGAAGUAUACAUGGAGUAAUGGGCAUGUUUAUAGCAAGAUAGAUAGACCUGUAGUUAAUGUUAAAUGGGUGCAAAGGUUUCCCCAUAUUGAAGUUAUUAUGAUGAACCCCGGAUGCUCAGACCAUACUCCAAUUGGUAUUGAUGUUGACAGCAAUAAACCACCUGGAAAAUUGGCUUUCAAAAUUUUUAAUGUACUAGCUAAGCACCUCAGCUUUCCUGUAAUUAUACGACAAGCUUGGCUGAAGCUGGUUACUAGAGUUACUAUAAAGAAGGUGUGGGAGAAAGUUGAGAUAGUAAAAUAAGGUUUAAAGAAUUCAAACAAUAGAGAAUUCACUAGCACUGCUAGUAAAAAUCAAGAAGCUAGAGCAAAGUUGGAGAAACUACAAGUAGAUAUGAGAUCCAACACAUCAGCUGAACUAUUUGGAGAAAAAAAGUAGAUUAAACUAAAGCUUGAAUAGUGGUGUCUUAUAGAGGAGAAUACUCUGCAACAAAAAUCUAGGAUGACAUGGCUUAGAUUAGGAGAUGCAAACACAAAAUAUUUCUUUGCAGGUGUAAAGGGUAGACAAGCUCAAAAUAAGAUCAAGAACCUAGUAUCCAUAAUAGGCAACAUACUGAAUUCCCAAGAUGGUAUAUGGAAAGAGUUAUUGAUUUUUAUUCUGCUCUUCUAGGUACUGCAGCCAACAUUGUACCUACUUUUGAUCCUACAGUAAUGAGAAAUGGAAAUAUGCUUAACAGGGCUCAACAACUAGAGUUAAUCAAACCAGUCACUAGACAGGAAGUGUUAGAAGCCCUCAGUGUUAUAGAUGGAAAUAAAGCACUAGGCUGUGAUGGUAUGAAUGCAUGUUUUUUCAAAAAUCUUGGCCUGUGCUAGGUACUGAAGUUACUGAUGUUGUGCUUGAAUUUUUUACCAAUGGGACAAUGUUUAGACUAGUGAACUAUACCAGUGUGACCUUGAUCCCAAAGGUUAAAAAUCCUAAGACAAUUAAAGAGUUUAGGCCAAUCUCCUAUUGUACUACCUUGUAUCAUAUUAUCACAAAAGUAAUCACUUCUAGGAUGAAACAGUUAAUGGAUACUUUGAUUGAUACUUGUCAGGUAGCUUUUGUACUAGGUAGAGUAAUAACAGAUAUGAGAUGGUAAAAGGAUAUGGUAGGAAAGGUAUUUCUCCAAGGUGCAUGUUAAAUAUAGAUAUUCAAAAGGCAUAUGACUCUGUGGAGUGGCCAUUUAUAGAACCAAUGCUGAGAGGUCUGAAUUUUCCUGAAAGAUUUGUGCACUGGAUUAUGAAAUACAUAAGUACUAUCUCAUACUCUAUGAUGAUCAAUGGAGGCCCAUCUACUCCAUUUCUUGCUAAAAGAGGGUUGAGUCAAUAUCUUUGUUAUUGUAAUGGAAUACCUCAUAAGGUUGUUGAAGGGUCUGAGAAUACAAAAGAAGUUUAAAUUCCAUCCUAAGUAUGCAAAAGUGAAUCUGAUUUAUCUGGGAUUUGCAGAUGAUUUUUGUUUUGAAAAGAUAUUUAAUUGUUACUCAAUAUUUUCUAUGGCUUCAGGAUUGCAAGCAAAUGCCAAUAAAAGUUCUGUUUAUUUUGGAGGGGUGCCAGGUAAUAUACAAUAUCAGAUUCUGGAAGUGUUAGGUUUCACCAUUAGUACUAUGCCUUUUAGAUAUCUUGGAGUUCCUUUGAGUACAAAAAGGAUCUCCAUCACUCAGUGUUAGCCACUGAUUGAGAAGAUUAUGAACCGGAUUACAUCCUAGACCACUAAGUAAUUGUCAUAUGCUGAUAGACUUCAGUUGAUCAAGAGUGUCUUAUUUUCAAUACAAACCUACUGGUCACAAGUUUUUGUGCUUCAUAAAUGUGUUAUUCGGGGUAUGGAAAGCUUGUGCAAAAGAUUUCUAUGGACAUGAACAAAAGAGAUCUCAAAAAAAGCACUUAUAACAUGGGAAAAUUUAUGCAAACUCAAGACAUAUGGAGGUGUGAACAUCAUUGACCUGACUACUUGGAACAAGGACGCUAUACCUAAAAUACUAUAGAACCUAUGCCGGAAAAAAUAUAAGAUAUGGGUGCAUUGGGUGCAUACUUAUUACAUAAAAAAUGAGAUAAUCGGAGAGGUGAUACCUAGACAGGCUUCCUGGAUACUGUAAAAGAUUUUAAAGGCUCACAAAUAUUGGCUAGCAGUUGGGUAUACAAUGGUAGAUUUUGAAGAUAUGCACCAGUUUCAUAUAUGCCAAAUGUAUAAACGACUGAUGGGGUGCUUCCAAAAAGUGGAGUGGAGAAGAUUAGUUUGUUACAGCUAUGGAGUUCCUAAGUGGAUUUUCAUUUUAAGAUUGGCCAUUAUGAACAGAUUGUACACUAAAGAUAGAUUAGCUAAGGAAGAUGCAGGUGGAAACCCAAUGGGUACUAUGCAGGAAAGAAGAUGAGAUAGUUGAACACUUAUUUUUCUAGUGUGAUUAUGCUGCUGCAAUAUGAAAUGCAUUGUUGCGAUGGAUAAAUAUGCAAAGAACUGCAAUUACAUGGAGCAGUGAAAUAACCUAGAGUGUAACAAAUAUCAAAGGGAAAUCAACCACUGCUCAUGUGUUCAUGAUGAUGUUGGUUGCUUACAUUUACUACAUCUGGCAUGAGAGGAACAACAGAAUAUUUAGGGAAAUAGAUGUACAGCCUGAUAGCACAGUGCAAAAAGUAAUAUAGAAAGUGAUACUUCUCGUUAGUUCAAAGCUGAAGUUAGCUAGUGUGGUGCCUACUCUGAACUAUUAACCAUAAAUGUGAUAGAUUCGUAGUGAAGGGAUAGUGUUGCACCCAGUCUGUGUUACCAGGCUGGAGGAUUGCUCUAUAAUGUCCACUUUUGGUAAUAAAAUAAAAUUAUUAACCAAAAAAAUAAUUUCAAGAUCAAUAUUAUAUGCCACAGUUUCUCAGAUUGUUGAAAAACAAUGGUAAAACGUCAAUAAAAAUGUUAUCAAUUUGUUAGCAAAAACAUAAUAAUGAUAAUAAUAAUAAUAAUAUCAAUAUAAUAAUAAUAUCAAUAUAAUAACAUAAUAAUGUAUGAUAAUAUUACUACUACAAUAGUAAUAGUAUAAUCAAUAUAAUAAUCCUGAUAUAUUAUAACAGUAAUAUAAUUACUUAUUAGCAAGUUAAUGAUACUGACUAUUAAAUAAAGAUUAUUAAGAGAUUUUUGCAGUGAUAUAUUAAUUAUAUUUGAGUCGUACCAAGCAUUGUCCUAAGAAACUAUUUUAGCAGUGUGAAAUAUUUUUUCAAGAUUAAACAAGUACUUCUCUGAUUAAUUAGAGAGCAUAUAGGAUUAAAUAAGUUUUUCCUAAUUAAUCAGAGGAUACAAAAAUCAGCAAAAUUAUCAAUACAAAUAUCAACAAGUUAAACUAGAGAUUUACUAAAAUAAUAACCAGAACUAUUAAGUAAAUGAUAUAAAAAGAAAGAGGAAAAAGUUGGAAAAGGAAGAGACAGUAACAAGAAUGUGGGGAUGAUUUUUCAAGGCUAAAUGAUGUCUAUUUAUAAUGGUUCAAUAGACUUAGAUGUUGGUCCAAACACUUGUUCAAAUAUUUUCAUGCAAAAUGAUACUUGUCCUUCAAGUCUAACAAGUGUCAAUGUUUUAAGAAAACAAUGACAUGCAUAUUAUCAACACUAUUUGUUAGUUAGCCACUUCCUCAAGUAAGUAUGUUGUCUUUUAAAAUACAUUUUAGUAUAAAUUAUUUAUAAAAUAAAUAUUUUUCAUACAAAAAGUAGAUAUAAACUUUUAAAAGGUUUUUGACUAAGUUUAAUUUUUUCCUGUAAGAAUGAUCACUCUUUCUCCCUUUUUAUUCAAUUUUUUUUUCUAAAUCAUUUUUUUUUCUUGUAUAAAUUCCGUGCAUUUUUUCAUAGAGAAAAGUAAAUAUAAAUUUUUAAAACCUUUCCGACAAAGUCUCAUUUUUUUUUAAUAAGAAUGACUAUUCUCUCUUUCUGUCGUCCUCUCUUUCUAUUCAAUUCUUUUUCUAAAUUAUAUUUUUUUCUUGUUUGAAUUCCUUGCAUUUGUUCAUAGGAAAAAGUAGAUAUAAAUUUUUAAAAGAAAUUUGGUAAAGUGCUAUUUUUGAGGGUAAAAAUGAAACACCUUGACUUUGAAUCCUUAGAAAAUAUUCCCUAAGAUUGAGUUUCUGGACAAGGUAUGAUUUAAACAUACUACUCAUAUGCUAGGUACGACUAGUACCCACUCUCUCGUAUGAUGAUCAGUUUAGGUUGAUAGCAUUAUAGUCUAAGGUACGAUUUAGCAUCAUACCAAUCAUAUGAUGGUGUACGAGUCGUAAGUGGGUGAGUUGUUUAAUGUCUUGAGCCUUGUCCAUAGUGUUCUGCCUAGGGUACAGAGUGUAGGGUACUACUCGUACCUUAGGGUAUGAAUUGAGUAUGAGGGGUCAUAUGUUAGUCAGUAUGGGGUCCAAAGAGUGGUCUAGGGUACAAGUUAGUGUAUCACUCAUACCCUAGGGUAUGGGACAAGGGGGUGAGUCGUACCCUCCUGGGUGUAAUUUUCAGCUUUUAAGCUGAGGAUAUUUUAGACAUUUCUCACCCCUAAAACUUUAUGAACCACAACUUAUAACAUUGUUUGGAUUUUGAUUAUUUACUUAUACAAGAUCAAAACAUUCCGAAACACUCUUCAAAACUUCUCUCUCAAGAUUAGGAACUAGGGUUUCAAGAGUGCUCAUCUAAAGGCUAAAGGGGGUCAAGUUCCUUCCAUGAAUCAUCUUAUAUAAGGCAUGUGACUCUUCUCUCAUUGUUAUUUAUCAAAUAUUAUGUGUUUUAAAUAUUGAUUAUGGAUUGUAAAUGGUCGUUUUAAAAUCGAAUGUUGAGGAUUUUGAUGCAUAAUGAUGAGUAUUAUUUACUCUUGUUUAAACUUGUGUUUAUACAUAUUUUUACUGAUGGUUUGCACAUGUGGGUGCUUGUUGAUUGUGGUUUAACAAAUGGGUCAUGAUUAACACUAAGGUUGAUGAUUUUUACUUUGAUUUUAGUCUUGAAAAAGGUAUGCCCUCAAGUUGUUUGUGAAAAUGUCUAAAAUAAAUAACUAGUUACAUGUAAAUUGUGUUUUGAACUAAGGCAAUGGCUUAAUGAGUAAGAAUAUUUGGUAAAUGAUCUUGUAAAGGCCUUGUUGGACAUGUAAUGAAUUAAAUGGUAAUCCUGGUGAUAUGAUUGGUUAAAAAGAGUUUGAGUCCCUAAACAUGAAAUGGAAUUGUGUUUAAACUAAAGUUUAGUGUAAGAAUCCUGAUGAAGAAUGAAUGGUUUGGUAAAAAGGUCUUGAUGACCAUAAUUUGACUUGAAUGGUAUCUGAAACUAAGGCAUUGGCUUAUUAAAGUGAUUGAUUGAUAAAUAGUUCAUGAAGACCUUGUGGUCAUGUAUGGUGUUGAAUUGUAGCCUUGAUGGCUUGAAUUGGUUGAGUGGGUUAGAAUCCCCAAAUGUGAACUGAGUGGAUGAGCAUGCAUGGACAAAGGAUUAGAGUCCAAAUUUCAACUAGUAAUGGACAUGACGGCAUGUGGUUAGGGUCCACUUGCUUAACAAGAUGGCUUAUGGUUAGAUUCCACUUGUCUAAUAAUAUGGCUUGUGGUUAGAGUACAUUUGUCCAAUGACAUGGCUUGUGGUUAGAGUCCACUUGUCUAGUGAAAUGGCUUGUGGUUAGAGUCCACUUACUCAAUGAGAUGACUUGAGGUUAGAGUCCUUUUGCUUGAUAUAACCAGGAAGUUCAAACUUCCUAAUUCUACGCAAGUAGAAGGUUAGAGUCCUCCACUUCAUGGUUCAUAAUUGGGUGUUUUGAACUGCUAAGGCCUUGCCUUCUUUUUCAACACUUGAUGUAUCUAUAUAUCUGCAUAUCCAUGUGUAUAAAUGUGUUUUCUUAUGAUGAUUUGACUUGGUAUUGAAUAAUGACAUUAUUUUAUCCUUAUCCUUGAGUUACAUGCUAGCGCUCCAACCAUUAACCGUCUUCGGACGCUGUGUCCCCAUGCGACACAAGGGUCGGAGCUUGUUUUUCUCUUCCUACGUAGUGACCAGGUGUUAAAGCAAUUUGGAUGUUGACAUUGAAGCGGUGACCUUCCAUACUUCGUUCGGACAUUCAGUUUCCCGAUCGGGCCUAGGCAGGACCAGUUAGCCAGCAUCAGCAGCAGUGGAAUUGGCCAUACUUCCUCUCCUUCUGCACAGUGACUAAGUGAUUCGGGGACAACUUUUUAGUCAGACUAAAGUUGUGAGCUUCCAUACUUCAGAAGAUCCCAUUUCAUGCUAUGAAUUUCUUUAUGUCUUUACUAUUCUUUUUUUGUCUUGGUUUUGGAUGUGGUUGGGGAUAUGUUCCGACUGGAUAUUCUUUGAUUUUGAUUAGAGGCUUUGUCAGACUAGUAUGGAUAUGGGUGGUAUUAAUUGGUUGUUUGGUGGGUAGGUGGUUGGUUUUGGUUAUAGACUUAUCAUAAUGUCUUUAAAUUGAUAUUCUCUUAUCUUGUUAGAUUUUCGAAAUUCAUCCAACAUAGAUGUAGGGUGAUCAAUGAUUUGGUAUUGAGGGUGGUCUCCUAUCCUGGUUGAACUUGAGAUCUUCGACAUAGCCAGACCCUGGUCAGGUCGUGUCAAUCAUGCUCCAUAAUUUUCAAAUUAAAGACCUUUUAGUACAUUUGGUACCUUUGGCCCUAGUAAACUUCGUUAAAGGUAAAACUUUUUCACCCUUUUUCAGUAAUUCUAUAACCUGACUAGUAGGGAUAAUAAUUUCACCUAACUCUUGUUUUUCUAUAUCAUCUUCUUUUGGUAAGUCUUCGUCAAAAAUAUGAUAACACCUACUUAGGGUCUCAUGGUCUAAUUGUAUACUGGCAUCAACAUCGAAAUCAUUGAAUUGUAAUGAAGAAAUUUCUUGAACAUUACUAAAUCUAGGAAGUAAUGAACAUUUGUGGAUAAAUGAUAUAAGUAUAAUUUUGUUUCUCCUUUGAUUAUUUCCUCUUGAUUUUCUUUGUAAUUUGAGGGUCAUUAAUAGCAUAUUUCUUGAAUGUAUAAUGAUCUAUUUAUGAAUAUCCCAUGAUUGAUUUUGUGGAUAUUGGAGAUGCCAUUUUUUAGGAAAUAUUUAUUCCUUUAUAUAGGUGUAAUUUAGAAUUUAGGAUAAAUUAGCCAGUUUAGGGUAUUAUAGCCUCCAAAAACUCUAAUAGAAAUUAAAUUCUUCUGGUAGAGUUCACGAAAUUUUAAUGUCUACAAUUGCUUUUGUAAUUGAGAUUCGGACACAUUUGAAAGCAACUUUUGCGUAGCCAAACUCAUGAAUACAAGCAUACAUCAUAAAGGCCAUCAAACAUGCUAAUUGUAUGUGUUACCAUGUUAUGAUAAAAUUACUCUCAAAAAGAAAAGAAAAAAACAUAAAGUCACCAUUGAAGUUGUCCGAAAUUUACAAAAAGACAAUUUAACCUUGCGAGCGACCUAUUAUCCCCCUACACAAUUUCAAAGAGAGGUUAAACACAUAUCAAUCAACAUCUUACGCGUGUUGAAUUUAUUUACUUUUACAUUUUACUCACGUUUUUGUACUUUACUAUUUUUCUUUUUUCGUGUCAUUUUUUUCUCCUCCUUUAUUGCUUCUUAGUCAAAUUUCAACUAGCAAUUUUUAGAACAUUCUACUCCUUCGAUUUCAAUUUUGUUUUACUUUUGUUUUUUCUUGGUAAUUGAUUGAUCUACGUGUUUGUUGAUCGAUUGUGUUGAUUUUAUUUGUGUUUGUUGAUUUUUUUGGAUUUGCGUGUUGAGUCAGAAAAAUAGAGGGAACAUGUUCAAUAUUUAAAAGUAUCACCAAAUUUCACUAGUAUGAGGCCUUUUGGGAGGCGUCCAAAAAUAAAUCCGUGAGGGCUUGGCCCAAAGUGGAUAAUAUCAUACUAGUGUGGAGUUACACGCGGUCCCAACAAGUGGUAUUAGAGCCUAGGUUCGGGUGUGUCAGAGUGGUGGACUAUGGUUGGUGAGAAGUUCUCAGUGUAACGACAAGACUGGAGAUCUGCAGGUGGUGCCUUGUGUCGAAAGUCUUCCUGGCGAGUGGAGUUCAAGCGGCGUGUCCCGUUGGGUGAUAACGGCGGUACAAGAUGUUUGGCAAAUCAUGUGAAGUGACCUAGUAGUUGAGAUCUACGGUUGAUGACUCAUGUUGAAAGUCUUCUUAACAAGUGAUGGUCAAGCGGCGUGUCCCACUGGUUGGUAGUGGAGGUACGGGGAGGUCACAAGACAUGUGCUCUUGGUUUGAGGAGGGAAUUGUUGCGAAGCAAACAAAAUCCCACAUCGAAAAAAUAGAGGGAACAUGUCCAAUAUUUAAAAAUGUCACCCAACUCCACUAUUAUGAGGCCUUUUGGGAGGUGCCCAAAAAUAAAUCCGUGAGGACUUGGCCCAAAGCGGACAAUAUCAUACUAGUGCGGAGUUACACGCGGGUUUUUCCACCUAUCAGGAUAGUCUUUUGGGUUGGGCUCUCCCAUUUGGUUUAUAACAUUGGUUCUCUCGUUGAGAGUCUCACAUGUUGGGUCGUGACUCGGAGUGAUGGCCUACGCGCUAGAAAUGUUGACCUGGACCCAAGAGGGGUGCCAUCCGUGACCAACUGAGCGUAGCCGUGACCAACUAGGAUCGAUCCACAUGUGGAGAGCCGCUUGUUGGGCCGUGACUCGUAGUGGUGACCUGUGUGCCAGUAGUGGUGGCCUGGACCCAAGAGGGGUGCCAAUGGUGACCAACUGGGCAUAGCCGUGACCAAUAAACAUCGAUCCACGCAUGGAGCCAUGACUCGGAGUGGUGUCCUAUGCGCCAGGAGUGGUGGCCUGGACCUAAAAAGGGUACCACCGUAACUAACUAGGCUCAGCCGUGACCAACGAGGUCGUUGGUUCUCAAGCGGAGGCGAUUGUUAUGAAUCAAUUGUCCCACAUUGGAAAAAUAAAGAAAUGCUAGGGAGGGUGUUAUGUAAAGAAUGGAUCUUAGGUCUAACUCAACCUCAAAAACUAGCUCAAGAGAGGAGGAUUGUCCAAGUACAUAUAAGCAAACCACCAGUCCAUUUCCCAAUCAAUGUGGGACUUUUACCCACUCUAACACCCCCCUCACGUCCAGGCCCAACUAGCACUAGCGCGUGGACCGGGAGCCCAAAACGGGGAUGGACCUGACUCUGAUACCAUGUAAAGAAUGGACUUUGGGCCUAACUCAACCUCAAAAGUUAGGUCAAGAGGUGAGAAUUAUCCAAGUCCAUAUAAGCAAACUAUCAGUCCAUUCCCCAACCAAUGUGGGACUUUCUACCCACUCUAAGAUUGUGAAGAUUGAAAUUGGACAAGCUUAAUUUAUUUUGGAGAAGGUGAUUAUUAGUGUUUGGUUAUGGCUACUAUGGUGCGGUUUAGACUGUAGGGAAGAAUUUGAAAAAACAAAAUCGCCAUAAUAGUGAGAUCGAAACUCAAUUAAAGUAGAGCGUUAUAGUUCUUCUUAAAGACGAUAUCUAACAACUACAAAAAGUAAAAGUUAGUCAGAAUAGACACAUUAAUCAAAUAUCAAGAAAUAGAUUUAAGAACAAAGCUUCAAAAGUAAUGUAGAAAGAAAAUAAGAGGAAAAAGAAAAGCAAAAAUGUAGCAGGAAAAAGAAAAAGAAGGA